GCGGGUGUAGUUUAGUGGUAAAACAAGAGCCUUCCAAGCUCUGGUCGAGAGUUCGAUUCUCUUCACCCGCUCCAUGU
rnacentral:tRNA from 4 species